rnacentral:rRNA from 1 species
UCGACCGCCUGGGGAGUACGGCCGCAAGGUUAAAACUCAAAUGAAUUGACGGGGGCCCGCACAAGCGGUGGAGCAUGUGGUUUAAUUCGAUGCAACGCGAAGAACCUUACCUGGUCUUGACAUCCACGGAAGUUUUCAGAGAUGAGAAUGUGCCUUCGGGAACCGUGAGACAGGUGCUGCAUGGCUGUCGUCAGCUCGUGUUGUGAAAUGUUGGGUUAAGUCCCGCAACGAGCGCAACCCUUAUCCUUUGUUGCCAGCGGUCCGGCCGGGAACUCAAAGGAGACUGCCAGUGAUAAACUGGAGGAAGGUGGGGAUGACGUCAAGUCAUCAUGGCCCUUACGACCAGGGCUACACACGUGCUACAAUGGCGCAUACAAAGAGAAGCGA